UACGUAGGGGGGCAAGCGUUGUCCGGAAUUAUUGGGCGUAAAGCGCGCGCAGGCGGUUUCUUAAGUCUGAUGUGAAAGCCCACGGCUCAACCGUGGAGGGUCAUUGGAAACUGGGGGAACUUGAGUGCAGAAGAGAAGAGCGGAAUUCCACGUGUAGCGGUGAAAUGCGUAGAGAUGUGGAGGAACACCAGUGGCGAAGGCGGCUCUUUGGUCUGUAACUGACGCUGAGGCGCGAAAGCGUGGGGAGCAAACAGG
rnacentral:rRNA from 1 species